AAACAAUUAGCAAUUAUGCAUAUCGGUUUCGGCCCGAUAAGAGCGGCCACCGCGUUGUUUU
rnacentral:tRNA from 1 species